rnacentral:rRNA from 1 species
UACGUAGGGUGCAAGCGUUAAUCGGAAUUACUGGGCGUAAAGCGUGCGCAGGCGGUUUCGUAAGUCUGACGUGAAAUCCCCGGGCUUAACCUGGGAAUGGCGUUGGAGACUGCAAGGCUGGAAUCUGGCAGAGGGGGGUAGAAUUCCACGUGUAGCAGUGAAAUGCGUAGAGAUGUGGAGGAACACCGAUGGCGAAGGCAGCCCCCUGGGCUAAGAUUGACGCUCAUGCACGAAAGCGUGGGGAGCAAACAGG